CUCAAUAUCCCACCUCGUUUCCUCACUCCUCCGUCCUCCAUCCUACGACCCGGAAACCGAUCGAGGAGUGAGGAGGCUUCCAGAGGACCUAUAAGCGAGGAUACACAGGUGUAUCCUUUGCGGAAGUGCAUUUCAUUGAAAAACCUGACGCAUGUAUGAAUUCUCCUCCCACUUCACAUCUGUUGUAAUGAUUGUAAUUUAUAUUUUAACCUUUGCAGUUUAAAUAAACCGUAAAUGUCAUAUAUUUCA
ensembl:lncRNA